rnacentral:rRNA from 1 species
CACGUAGGGUGCGAGCGUUUGUCCGGAAUUAUUGGGCGUAAAGAGCUCGUAGGCGGUGUGUCGCGUCGGCCGUGAAAACCUGCAGCUUAACUGUGGGCGUGCGGUCGAUACGGGCAUCACUGGAGUUCGGCAGGGGAGACUGGAAUUCCUGGUGUAGCGGUGAAAUGCGCAGAUAUCAGGAGGAACACCGGUGGCGAAGGCGGGUCUCUGGGCCGAUACUGACGCUGAGGAGCGAAAGCGUGGGGGAGCGAACAGG